rnacentral:rRNA from 1 species
GAUUUCUGGCUUGAAACAUUUUGCCGGCCACGGUUUCGUGUGUUAGUGCUUGAUGUUCUGGCCAUCCUUCCAAUCGCUAUUGGGUUAUCUUCAUUGAUCGCUCAGUAGUAUUGGAUCUUUUACUUUGAAAAGAUUAGAGUGUUUCAAGCAGGCUUUAUGCUAUGAAUACAUUAGCAUGGAAUAAUAAUUUAGGACUUCGGUUCUAUUUUGUUGGUUUCUAGGACUGAAGUAAUGAUUGAUAGGGAUAGUUGGGGGUGCUAGUAUUCAGUGGCCAGAGGUGAAAUUCUCGGAUUCACUGAAGACUAACUUAUGCGAAAGCAUU